rnacentral:rRNA from 1 species
GACGAACCGUGCGAACGUUGUUCGGAAUCACUGGGCUUAAAGGGCGCGUAGGCGGGCGAUCAAGUCAGAGGUGAAAUCCCACGGCUCAACCGUGGAAGUGCCCCUGAUACUGGUUGUCUCGAGGGAGAUAGGGGCGUGCGGAACUUUUGGUGGAGCGGUGAAAUGCGUAGAUAUCAAAAGGAACACCGGUGGCGAAAGCGGCGCGCUGGAUCUCUACUGACGCUGAGGCGCGAAAGCCAGGGGAG